rnacentral:rRNA from 1 species
CAGAGGGUGCAAGCGUUAAUCGGAAUUACUGGGCGUAAAGCGUGCGUAGUCGGUUAUCUAAGUCGGGCGUGAAAGCCCCGGGCUCAACCUGGGAAUUGCGUUCGAUACUGGAUAGCUAGAGUUCGGCAGAGGGAAGCGGAAUUUCGGGUGUAGCGGUGAAAUGCGUAGAUAUCCGAAGGAACAUCAGUGGCGAAAGCGGCUUCCUGGACCAGAACUGACGAUCAGGCACGAAAGCGUGGGGAGCAAACAGGAUUAGAUACCCUGGUAGUCCACGCCAUAAACGAUGACAACUAGACGUUGGGAGGGUAAGCCUCACAGUGUCGCAGCUAACGCGUUAAGUUGUCCGCCUGGGGAGUACGGCCGCAAGGUUG